rnacentral:rRNA from 1 species
CCCCUAGAUGUUCUGGGCCGCACGCGCGCUACACUGAACAGUUCAACAAGUCUUAACCUUGGCUGAUAGGUCUGGGUAAUCUUUGAACGCUGUUCGUGAUUGGGAUAGACCUUUGCAAUUAUGGGUCUUCAACGAGGAAUUCCUAGUAAACGCAAGUCAUCAGCUUGCAUUGAUUACGUCCCUGCCCUUUGUACACACCGCCCGUCGCACCUACCGAUUGAAUGGUCCGGUGAAAUCUCGGGACGGCGGCUUGGUCGCUUGCGUCCGACUGCUGAAACUUGAUUAAACCAUAUCAUUUAGAGGAAGGUGAANUCGUANCA